rnacentral:lncRNA from 1 species
AUUCGUUCCAGGAUGGAAGGCCGAAAGAAGUCAGAGUCUGAUGGUAAUGGUGGCAGCGGCAGUGGGAGCCACAGGACUGGAGUCCUCUGCAAGAGACAAAGUUUUGGGAUGUGAUAAUCGAUGAACCUGGCAUCGACCCCACUGGCAGUUACCAUGGCGACAGUGACUUGCAGCUGGAGAGGAUCAGUGUGUACUACAAUGAAGCUGCUGGUAAGGGUUUGGAUGUCAGUCU